CCUACGGGUGGCUGCAGUGGGGGAUAUUGCACAAUGGGGGAAACCCUGAUGCAGCUACGCCGCGUGAGUGAAGACGUAUUUCGGUAUGUAAAGCUCUAUCAGCAGGGAAGAAAAUGACAGUACCUGACCAAGAAGCCCCGGCUAACUACGUGACAGCAGCCGCGGUAAUACGUAGGGGGCAAGCGUUAGCCGGAUUUACUGGGUGUAAAGGUAGCGUAGACGGUUAUGUAAGUCUGGAGUGAAAGCCCCGGGCUUAACCCCGGGACUGCUUAGGAGACUGUGUGACUGGAGUGCAGGAGGGGCAGGCGGAAUUCCAGGUGUAGCAGUGAAAUGCGUAGAUAUGAGGAAGAACACCGACGGCGAAGGCAGCCUGCUGGGCUGAAACUGACGUUGAGGCUCGAAAGCGUGGGGAGCAAACAGGAUUAGAUACCCGGGUAGUC
rnacentral:rRNA from 1 species